GGAUACCCGCUGAACUAAAGCAUA
rnacentral:rRNA from 1 species